rnacentral:rRNA from 1 species
CCUUCGGGAGCUUGCACAGUGCUGCAUGGCUGUCGUCAGCUCGUGUCGUGAGAUGUUCGGUUAAGUCCGCUAACGAGCGCAACCCUCGCUGUGUGUUAUAUGUGUCACACGGGACUGCCGGUCUUAAGCCGGAGGAAGGUGGGGAUGAUGUCAAGUCAGCAUGGCCUUUAUAUCCUGGGCUACACACACGCUACAAUGGCCAACACAAUAGGUUGCUAAGCCGCGAGGUGGCGCCAAUCCAUAAAGUUGGUCUCAGUUCAGAUUGUAGGCUGCAACCCGCCUGCAUGAAGAUGGAGUUGCUAGUAACCGCAGGUCAGCUAUACUGCGGUGAAUACGUUCCCGGGGCUU